rnacentral:tRNA from 1 species
GCGGGCGUAGUUCACCGGCUAGAACGUCUCCUUGCCAAGGAGAAGGUAGUGGGUUCGACUCCCAUCGCCCGCU